rfam:Danio rerio unplaced genomic contig CTG2934, GRCz11 reference primary assembly.
GGCGCUGUGGCUUAGUUGGUCAAAGCGCCUGACUCAUAAACAGGAGAUCCUGGGUUUAAAUCCCAACAGUGCCC